rnacentral:rRNA from 1 species
GACGAACGCUGGCGGCGUGCUUAACACAUGCAAGUCGAACGGGCCUGUCUUCUUUUUUGGGGGUGGGUUGAGUGGCGAACGGGUGAGUAUCACGUGAGUAACCUGCCCUUCGGUCCUGGAUAACCGCUUGAAAGGGCGGCUAAUACGGGGUGGUCCGGUUGGUCCGCAUGGGCUGGUCGGGAUAGAUUCACUGUUUUUGGUGUUUCGGCGGGGGAUGGGCUCGCGGCCUAUCAGCUUGUUGGUGGGGUGAUGGCCUACCAAGGCGGUGACGGGUAGCCGGCCUGAGAGGGUGGGCGGCCACACUGGGACUGGGAUACGGCCCAGACUCCUGCGGGAGGCAGCAGUGGGGGGUAUUGCACAAUGGGCGGAAGCCUGAUGCAGCGACGUCGCGUGAGGGAGGGAGGCCUUCGGGUUGUGAACCUCUGUUUCCGGUGGUGAAGGCCCUGUCCGUGUGGUGGGGUUGACGGUAGCCGGGGAUGAAGCGCCGGCUAACUACGUG